AGAGUUUGAUCAUGGCUCAGGAUGAACGCUGGCGGCGUGCCUAAUACAUGCAAGUCGAGCGAACUGAUUAGAAGCUUGCUUCUAUGACGUUAGCGGCGGACGGGUGAGUAACACGUGGGCAACCUGCCUGUAAGACUGGGAUAACUUCGGGAAACCGAAGCUAAUACCGGAUAGGAUCUUCUCCUUCAUGGGAGAUGAUUGAAAGAUGGUUUCGGCUAUCACUUACAGAUGGGCCCGCGGUGCAUUAGCUAGUUGGUGAGGUAACGGCUCACCAAGGCAACGAUGCAUAGCCGACCUGAGAGGGUGAUCGGCCACACUGGGACUGAGACACGGCCCAGACUCCUACGGGAGGCAGCAGUAGGGAAUCUUCCGCAAUGGACGAAAGUCUGACGGAGCAACGCCGCGUGAGUGAUGAAUGCUUUCGGGUCGUAAAACUCUGUUGUUAGGGAAGAACAAGUACGAGAGUAACUGCUCGUACCUUGACGGUACCUAACCAGAAAGCCACGGCUAACUACGUGCCAGUAGCCGCGGUAAUACGUAGGUGGCAAGCGUUAUCCGGAAUUAUUGGGCGUAAAGCGCGCGCAGGCGGUUUCUUAAGUCUGAUGUGAAAGCCCACGGGCUCAACCGUGGGAGGGU
rnacentral:rRNA from 1 species